CAAGGAUUCCCCUAGUAACGGCGAGUGAAGCGGGAUGAGCUCAAAUUUGUAAUCUGGUGGACUCAGUUCAUCCGAGUUGUAAUCUAUAGAAAAGUUUUCCGCGCCGGACCGUGUCUAAGUCCCUUGGAACAGGGUGUCAGAGAGGGUGAGAAUCCCGUGCUUGAUACGACCACCGGUGCUAUGUGAUACUUUUUCAACGAGUCGAGUUGUUUGGGAAUGCAGCUCAAAAUGGGUGGUAAAUUCCAUCUAAAGCUAAAUAUUGGCGAGAGACCGAUAGCGAACAAGUACCGUGAGGGAAAGAUGAAAAGCACUUUGGAAAGAGAGUUAAACAGUACGUGAAAUUGUUAAAAGGGAAACGAUUGAAGUCAGUCGUGCUCUCUGGGACUCAGCCGGUUCUUCCGGUGUAUUUCCCAGUGAGCGGGUCAACAUCAGUUUAGAUCGCUGGAUAAGGUCAUUAGGAAUGUGGCUCCCUCGGGAGUGUUAUAGCCUAGUGUCGCAUACAGUGGUUUAGACUGAGGAACGCAGCUCGCCUUUAUGGCCGGGGUUCGCCCACGUCCGAGCUUAGGAUGUUGACAUAAUGGCU
rnacentral:rRNA from 1 species